rnacentral:rRNA from 1 species
AGAGUUUGAUCCUGGCUCAGAUUGAACGCUGGCGGCAGGCCUAACACAUGCAAGUCGAGCGGAUGAGAAGAGCUUGCUCUUCGAUUCAGCGGCGGACGGGUGAGUAAUGCCUAGGAAUCUGCCUGGUAGUGGGGGACAACGUUUCGAAAGGAACGCUAAUACCGCAUACGUCCUACGGGAGAAAGCAGGGGACCUUCGGGCCUUGCGCUAUCAGAUGAGCCUAGGUCGGAUUAGCUAGUUGGUGAGGUAAUGGCUCACCAAGGCGACGAUCCGUAACUGGUCUGAGAGGAUGAUCAGUCACACUGGAACUGAGACACGGUCCAGACUCCUACGGGAGGCAGCAGUGGGGAAUAUUGGACAAUGGGCGAAAGCCUGAUCCAGCCAUGCCGCGUGUGUGAAGAAGGUCUUCGGAUUGUAAAGCACUUUAAGUUGGGAGGAAGGGCAGUUACCUANU